rnacentral:lncRNA from 1 species
CUCUCUCUGCCAUGUGAGGACAAAGGAGAAGCUGGCAGUCUGCAGCCCAGAAAAGGGUUCUUACUGGAAAUGACCAUGCUGGCACCUUGAUCUCAUACUUCUAGUCUCCAAAACUGUGAGAAGUAAAAUUUUCUUACUUAUAAGCCACCCAGUGUAUGAUACUUUGUAAUGGCAAGCUGAACUGACUAAGGUACUAUAGCCAAAGUGAAUGUGAUUUUUGACGCUUGUGUUCUUGAUCUGUUGGCUGCGGCAGGAGUGUGGACAGAGGCUCAUCUUUAAUGCCUCUGAAGCAGGCUUGGCUUCUCUCUUCCAUGUUGUCCCAUGGCACUUUGUACAUAGAGUGAUGUCACUCAUAUGUACACACUCAUUUUUCUCAGAACGCAGAAAUAUAUGGAGGUCUGAGGUUGAAUCUCAUAUGACUUCCUAAAGAAGGUCUGUCCUUUAUAGUUGCUUUACUCAUUACUGCUAAGGAACUUUUUACAUUUCUUGAUAUCCCCUGUCAUUUUUGUUUUGUUUUGGCGUUGGGGGAAAGCAGAUGUAGGAUUGAACAGGGAAGGCGGAAGCAAGAAGAUGAGGAUGGCCACUCUCAUUUGCUUCAGUUGACUGUUUUCAAUUCCUAUUGUUAGAGAAGUGAGUGUGAAAGAACUGGCUAUUCAAGAGAGUGUUGGAGAUUCUGGCAAGCAGAGAUUCUUCGGAGCCCAGGUGGAAAGUGAAGCGCUGAGUUGGGGAGAAAUGCUCAUGCCUUCUGCAGACUGAAGCCAGAAUGGACUGAAUGUCACAGCCUUUAUAACCCACACUGUGGCCGCAAGAAGAGAUUCAAAGAAAAGAAGAUCCUCCCUGCCAUUCCUCAGUGGCUGAAGUGCGUGGCCAGUCAUCAUUCGCUGAGCCCUUACUAGUAAGAUACUGAGAAUCCGACAGGUUAAAUUACUUCAAAAUCAAACAAAAAAAAUCGUAGAACUGGGAUUUAACCCUCAAAGCGUCAAUUCUGAAGUUAAAGCUUUACCCCAGGGCCUUAAGACACAGGAACUAGCAUCAGAAAUGUCUCAAAAACAUGAUGCUAUUUGGUUUCUACGUGCUUUAACUCAGCCCACAUCAGCAGCCUCUGUUCUGGAGCAGAAAUGGAAGGAAAAUUCCUGGGACUUUAGUGCUUCCUGCAGCCAGCCUCAGGCCCUUUUCUUCUACAGAUUCUGGGAUGCAAAAAUCCUACUUCUGCUCUAAAAGGAGAAAAUGUGAUUUGCAAGGAGAAUGUACCUCUUCUUCUUCCUUGAGAGCCAUUGCCCCUUUUAUCAAUGUGACACAGCCCUUCGGAAACAGGCUCCUUGUUCUUGGAGCUUGGCAGGGAAAAAAAACCAAGAAUUCAUUUGAAGGUGAGCUAAUUAUUGUAUCCUGUAAGGAUGGCUACACUACAGUGCUGACUGUGGCAUUUGCUGCUUAUUAAGUAUGACAGUUUAUAAAUGACACUAAUUGGAAUGAAGUAACUUAUAAAGCAUGUCUCAAAACAGAAGGAUUUUAUCCCAGAUAGAUAAGAUAGUUAAUUCCCCUUCCUCUUAUUACUUUCCCCUGUGUCUAUGAACACACUGACUAACUUUUCCCUAUGGCUUGGCACAAUACAUGAGUAGAGGAGGCGAUGUGGAAGGAUAAAAACAUUACUCAGGCACAUGCUACGAAACUUUCUAACAGUUGGCAAGACUCAGUCUGACCUUCAUGUUGAAUUUUGCUGUAGUUUUAAUCACUUUACCAUCACUUGCAGGAGAGAAAGCAUCGUUAAAAAUGCCCUAUUUAGGGAAAACUUCAGAGCCAAGACUAGAUGUAUGUUCUCAUUAUUUCACAUGUUGUCAGAGUAACCAGUACAGUGAAAAGACAGCCUUUUGAAGAAAACAAGUUUGUGGAAAGUGCUUAAUUAAGACUAUGGAAAUGAUGUUAGAGAAAAAGCAAAUUUGGGCAAUUUUCUUAUUCGAGUUCAAAAUGUGUCAUAAAGCAGUGGAGACAACUCCCAACAUCAACAAUGCAUUUGGCCCAGGAACUGCUACUGACCAUACAAUACAAUGGUGGUUCAAGAAGUUUUGCAAAGGAGAGGAGAGCCUUGAAGAUGAGGAGCAUAGCGUGGCAUUUGAAACAAAUUGCUUAAAACAAGAUUUCAUCAGGUAGAAAUUUAAAAAAAAAUCGUCAUUUUGAAGCAUUGUCACCUCUUAUUCAACACAACAACAAACUAUUUCUUGAUCCCAUUGUAAUGGGCAAUGAAAAGUGGAUUUUAUACGACAAUCAAUGAUGACCAGCUCAGUGGUUUGACUGAGAAGAGGCUCCAAAGCACUUUCCAAAUCCAAACUCGCACCAAAAAAAGGUCAUGGUCACUGUUUGGUGGUCUGCUGCUGGUCUGAUCCACUACAGAUUUCUGAGAAGUAUGCUCAGCAAAUCGAUGAGAUGCACUGAAAACUGCAAUGCCUGCAGCCAGCAUUGGUCAACAGAAAGCCCAAUUCUCCAUGACAACACCCAACUGCAC